UUGGCGCAAGCCUUUUGCAGAGAUGCCCCGUCUGUGCAGAAGCCCUUCGGGAUGAAAGGCACUUGCAGUCAGGAGGCAAGGUUACAAGUUAAUACCUACUAGCUGUGACGUUACUGACAGUCGGAAUUACUGGGCGUAAAGCGUACGCAGGCGGCUUGUUAAGCCAGAUGUGAAAGCCCCGGGCUCCACCUGGGAACAGCAUUUCAAACUGGCAAGCUAGAGUGUGAUAGAGGGUGGUAGAAUUUCAGGUGUAGCGGUGAAAUGCGUAGAGAUCGGAAGGAAUACCGAUGGCGAAGGCAGCCACCUGGGUCAACACUGACGCUCAUGUACGAAAGCGUGGGCAGCAAACAGGAUUAGAUACCCUGGUAGUCCACGCCGUAAACGAUGUCUACUAGAAGCUCGCAAGCUCGGUUCUGUUUUUCAAAGCUAACGCAUUAAGUAGAGAGCCUGGGGAGUACGGCCGCAAGGUUAAAACUCAAAUGAAUUGACGGGGGCCCGCACAAGCGGUGGAGCAUGUGGUUUAAUUCGAUGCAACGCGAAGAACCUUACCUACACUUGACAUACAGAGAACUUACCAGAGAUGGUUUGGUGCCUUCGGGAACUCUGAUACAGGUGCUGCAUGGCUGACGUCAGCUCGUGUUGUGAGAUGUUGGGUUAAGUCCCGCAACGAGCGCAACCCCUAUCCUUAGUUGCUAGCAGGUAAUGCUGAGAACUCUAAGGAGACUGCCGGUGAUAAACCGGAGGAAGGUGGGGCCGACGUCAAGUCAUCAUGGCCCUUACGUGUAGGGCUACACACGUACUACAAUGGCGCAUACAGAGUGCUGCGAACUCGCGAGAGUAAGCGAAUCACUUAAAGUGCGUCGUAGUAAGGAUUGGAGUCUGCAACUCGACUCCAUGAAGACGGAAUCGCUAGUAAUCGCGUAUCAGAAUGACGCGGUGAAUACGUUCCCGGCCGUGCACGCACCGCCUACUAAUCGCGGUUCGGCA
rnacentral:rRNA from 1 species